ACCUGCUCUUCCUCCGCCCUUAUUUCCGCCUUCUCAAUGCGCAAGCGCAGAGCGUGCUCCAAGAUGGCAGCCCCCGUGGAUCUGGAGCUGAAAAAGGCCUUCACAGAGCUUCAAGCCAAAGUUAUUGACACUCAACAGAAGGUGAAGCUUGCAGACAUACAGAUUGAACAACUAAACAGAACGAAAAAGCAUGCACAUCUCACAGAUACAGAGAUUAUGACUUUGGUAGAUGAGACUAACAUGUAUGAAGGUGUAGGAAGAAUGUUUAUUCUUCAGUCCAAGGAGGUAAUUCACAGUCAGCUGCUGGAGAAACAGAAAAUAGCAGAAGAAAAAAUUAAGGAAUUGGAAAAAAAAUCCUACCUGGAGAGGAGUGUGAAGGAAGCGGAGGACAACAUUCGGGAAAUGCUGAUGGCGCGAAGGGCACACUAGACAAAGAGACAGGAGGAGAGGGACAGAAUGUGAGAGACACCACAGCACUGGAACUUCUCCCAAUGCCAAGUUUCCAGAUGCCACCAUGAUGCCAACCAGACUUCCCUGGACUGACGACCCCACCAAUGUGUCCUGGAGCUCAGCUUCCCCAGAGACCCACCCUACUAGGGAAAGAGAGAGGCAAACUGGGAGAAUCGGCCGACCAGUCAACGCCCAUGUUCAGCGGGGAAGCAAUUAUAGAAGCCAGACCUUCCACCUUCUGCAACCCACAAUGACCUUGGGUCCAUAUUCCCAGAGGGAUAAAGAAUGGGAAAGCUACCAGGGGAGGCAAUGGGAUAUGGAGAUAA